rnacentral:rRNA from 1 species
GGACCCGCACAAGUAGUGGAGCAUGUGGUUUAAUUCGAAGAUACGCGCAGAACCUUACCAACACUUGACAUGUUCGUCGCGACUUUAAGAGAUUAAAGUUUUCGGUUCGGCCGGACGAAACACAGGUGCUGCAUGGCUGUCGUCAGCUCGUGUCGUGAGAUGUUGGGUUAAGUCCCGCAACGAGCGCAACCCUCACUUUUAGUUGCCAUCAUUUAGUUGGGCACUCUGAAAGAACUGCCAGUGAUAAGCUGGAGGAAGGUGGGGAUGACGUCAAGUCCUCAUGGCCCUUACGUGUUGGGCUACACACGUGCUACAAUGGCAUUUACAAUAGGAAGCAAGACGGCGACGUUUAGCAAAUCCUAAAAAAUGCCUCAGUUCGGAUUGUACUCUGCAACUCGAGUACAUGAAGCUGGAAUUACUAGUAAUCG